ACAUGCAAGUCGAGCGGUAACAGGGGGUGCUUGCACCCCGCUGACGAGCGGCGGACGGGUGAGUAAUGCAUAGGAAACUGCCCAGUAGUGGGGGAUAGCCCGGGGAAACCCGGAUUAAUACCGCGUACGCCCUUCGGGGGAAAGCAGGGGAUCUUCGGACCUUGCGCUAUUGGAUGUGCCUAUGUCGGAUUAGCUAGUUGGUGGGGUAAAGGCCUACCAAGGCGACGAUCCGUAGCUGGUCUGAGAGGAUGAUCAGCCACAUCGGGACUGAGACACGGCCCGAACUCCUACGGGAGGCAGCAGUGGGGAAUAUUGGACAAUGGGGGCAACCCUGAUCCAGCCAUGCCGCGUGUGUGAAGAAGGCUUUCGGGUUGUAAAGCACUUUCAGUGAGGAGGAAAACUCUGCGACUAAUACUCGUAGGGCUUGACGUUACUCACAGAAGAAGCACCGGCUAACUCCGUGCCAGCAGCCGCGGUAAUACGGAGGGUGCAAGCGUUAAUCGGAAUUACUGGGCGUAAAGCGCGCGUAGGUGGUUUGAUAAGCGAGAUGUGAAAGCCCCGGGCUUAACCUGGGAACGGCAUUUCGAACUGUCAGGCUAGAGUAUGGUAGAGGGUAGUGGAAUUUCCUGUGUAGCGGUGAAAUGCGUAGAUAUAGGAAGGAACACCAGUGGCGAAGGCGGCUACCUGGACCAAUACUGACACUGAUGUGCGAAAGCGUGGGGAGCAAACAGGAUUAGAUACCCUGGUAGUCCACGCCGUAAACGAUGUCUACUAGCCGUUGGGACUCUUGAAGUCUUAGUGGCGCAGCUAACGCACUAAGUAGACCGCCUGGGGAGUACGGCCGCAAGGUUAAAACUCAAAUGAAUUGACGGGGGCCCGCACAAGCGGUGGAGCAUGUGGUUUAAUUCGACGCAACGCGAAGAACCUUACCUGGCCUUGACAUGCAGAGAACUUUCCAGAGAUGGAUUGGUGCCUUCGGGAACUCUGACACAGGUGCUGCAUGGCCGUCGUCAGCUCGUGUCGUGAGAUGUUGGGUUAAGUCCCGUAACGAGCGCAACCCCUAUCCCUAGUUGCUAGCAGUUCGGCUGAGAACUCUAGGGAGACUGCCGGUGACAAACCGGAGGAAGGUGGGGAUGACGUCAGGUCAUCAUGGCCCUUACGGCCAGGGCUACAUGCGUGCUACAAUGGUGCGCACAGAGGGCUGCAAACCCGCGAGGGGGAGCCAAUCUCACAAAACGCAUCGUAGUCCGGAUCGCAGUCUGCAACUCGACUGCGUGAAGUCGGAAUCGCUAGUAAUCGUGAAUCAGAAUGUCACGGUGAAUACGUUCCCGGGCCUUGUACACACCGCCCGUCACACCAUGG
rnacentral:rRNA from 1 species